ensembl:lncRNA
GAGGAGCCUGGAAUGGGCAAAGGGGACUCUUCUACAUACUCAGGCAGCAGAUGAGAUCAUCCAUGAAGUAUCAGAUUUUAUUCAGGAGAUUCAAACUUCUGAACCAAGAGCACAGGAUGACAGCACUGUAUAUCGACCUCCACUGAUUCGUAGUGGAUCCAGAGGUGCACCAUCUUAUGUCAUUACACAGGAUCAGCUGUCAUUUUUGUUGUCUUGUGGCUUCACUGUAAAACAGAUUGCACAAAUUCUACACACCUCCAUAUCCACAGUCAAGCGACGUUUAAGGUGCUUCAAUCUGUUGCAGUCUUCCUCAUACUCAGAUAUAUCUGAUGCAGAUUUAGAUGAAAAAAUUAG